rnacentral:tRNA from 1 species
GGGUCCUUAGCUCAAUGGUAGAGCAUUUCACAUGAAGAUCAAGAGGUCGCUAGUUCAAAUUUGUUAGGGCCCU